CGCAGCCGGGGCCGGUUCCCCCCGUCCCCGCCCCGGAGGCUGCCGGUGUCCCGGCGGCUCUCGGCUCCCGCUGUCGCUAAGUCAUUAAUGGAUGCAGAUGUGCGGAGGGAGGUGGGCUCGGCCGAGCGGCGUCGCGGCGACCGGACAGCGGGCGAGGCGGAGGUAACCGCGGCUCUCCCCCUCCUCUUUUCCAAAGGCGGCCCCGGGACGCGGCCGGUUCUCCCGGAGGGGAUGCGGGGCAGGUGCGGGACCCGCAGUUGGCGACGUUGCCGGUAACGAGAACUCCCCACACUGCUCUGAUCACCGGGAUCCACCCACAUCCCUCACCGGGAGCAGGGAUGGGGCACCAGAGCCCCAGGAAGACACCUCCUCCCCCAAAACACCCCCAGCCUGGAAAUCCAAGGAUGGAGGAGCCCCGUGGGUGCCAUGGACUGGGCAUUCCUGCCCCUGGGAGCUCCCAGGCUGCUCCUGGAAUGGGUCUGCAGUGACCAAGCUGUUCCAUCCCAUCCCUCCGGGACGAGUCAGCGCCGGCGGAUCCGGGCUCGGGAUGUGGGCUUGGCUUUCCCAAGGAUGCUCAGCACCCCUUCACCUCUCCUGGACGGGCAGGUGACAGGAGUGGCUGCUGUGGGGUCCAGGUGACCGAGGAAGGCCGGAGAAAAGCCCAGGCUGGCUCUGGAACGUGGGCAGGAUCCGUGGGACGCUCAUCCCGUGCCCAGGUGCCAGAGGGGACAGCCAGGUGACAUCCCAGGAAGCUGGAAGGACACGGAGCCGCUGCCACCCAGCCCAAGGCACCAGGAGGAUGAUCUGCAGUCAGCGAGGGAAAGGGGAAAAAUUCCAGUGCAUUAAAGGUGUUGAAAGCCC